GACGAACGCUGGCGGCAGGCCUAACACAUGCAAGUCGAACGCUCCAGCAAUGGAGAGUGGCAGACGGGUGAGUAACGCGUGGGAACCUACCCUUUGGUUCGGAAUAGCCCAGGGAAACUUGGGGUAAUACCGGAUAAGCCCUUCGGGGGAAAGAUUUAUCGCCAAUGGAUGGGCCCGCGUCGGAUUAGCUAGUUGGUGGGGGGACGGCCUACCAAGGCUACGAUCCGUAGCUGGUCUGAGAGGGUGAUCAGCCACACUGGGACUGGGACACGGCCCAGACUGCUACGGGAGGCAGCAGUGGGGAAUAUUGGACAAUGGGCGCAAGCCUGAUCCAGCCAUGCCGCGUGAGUGACGAAGGUCUUCGGAUUGUAAAGCUCUUUUGGCGGGGAAGAUAAUGACGGUACCCGCAGAAUAAGCCCCGGCUAACUUCGUGCCAGCCGCCGCCGUAACAC
rnacentral:rRNA from 1 species